AGCUCGGAGACCGGAUAAUGAAAUGGACACAAUAAGAUGAAAGGUGUCAAGUGGAGAUUUUCUGAUGACGUGGCACAUGAAGGUUAUCCUACGUGGGAUUUUCUCUACUUGGUAUUGGCAGAUAAGAUACAGAUGGUAUUUCUCUUUUGGCCUCAAAGAAAGAGAGAGAGGAGUCCAACUGUGACAGAAGAAAGAAAAUAAACCUCCGUACAUUGGAUCCACAAGUUCAUAUGUGACUACAUCCAUGGAUGGACAAAUAAUACUUGGAAGCAGUAAACAUAACAUGAAAAUGCAUUUAAUGAAGUGCCCCAAUCUUCUCAGCAGGUGUCGUAAAAUCAAUGGAGAACUCUACACCGUCACCCAUAUCUGGGCUUCUGUAAUAAUUGCUAAUUGGUUUUAUGGCCAGAACAGAGUUUGGAUAGAAAACCUUUUCAUUAUUAAG